rnacentral:rRNA from 1 species
GAUGAACGCUGACAGAAUGCUUAACACAUGCAAGUCAUUGGCGAAGCUGCGCUUGUGCCGUCUAGCCAAGGCGGACGGGUGAGUAACGCGUAAGGAGCUUGCCCUGCAGACAGGGAUAACAGACGGAAACGACUGAUAACACCUGGUAUUGUCAGGCUGGCGCAUGCCGGCCUGAUGAAAGGAGACGCUGCAGGAGAGCCUUGCGUCCUAUUAGCUAGUUGGUGGGGUAACGGCCCACCAAGGCGAUGAUAGGUAGCCGGCCUGAGAGGGUGAACGGCCACAAGGGGACUGAGAUACGGCCCUUACUCCUACGGGAGGCAGCAGUGGGGAAUAUUGGACAAUGGGGGCAACCCUGAUCCAGCAAUUCUGUGUGCACGAAGAAGGUUUUCGGAGUGUAAAGUGCUUUCAGCAGGGAAGAAGAAAGUGACGGUACCUGCAGAAGAAGCGACGGCUAAAUACGUG